GACGUAGGGCGCGAGCGUUGUCCGGAAUUAUUGGGCGUAAAGAGCUCGUAGGCGGUUUGUCGCGUCUGCUGUGAAAACUGGAGGCUCAACCUCCAGCCUGCAGUGGGUACGGGCAGACUAGAGUGCGGUAGGGGAGAUUGGAAUUCCUGGUGUAGCGGUGGAAUGCGCAGAUAUCAGGAGGAACACCGAUGGCGAAGGCAGGUCUCUGGGCCGAUACUGACGCUGAGGAGCGAAAGCGUGGGGAGCGAACAGG
rnacentral:rRNA from 1 species